AGGACUGCCUGACCGGGGGAAGGAUAACCUGGCAGCCGCGCAGUGUUGGCUAAUCGGCGAAGGAAAUCACUGCUGCUUUGCCUCAGGCUGGGUAUCACUUUACCUUAGCAGGGACUAAUUGCUUUACCUUGCCUCUUUGGCUUGGUUGCCUCACUUCGGGUGUGCGCCGCCCCGCUGUAACUGACUUGGCCUCUGGUUGCCUUGCCUGGCACCUGGCUUGUUGUUCGGUGUUACCGGGGGCUUUCUGUGUCUGUGUGUGUAGUAGUUCGUGUGUGUGGAGGGGGUGAAGGAGUAGCAUGGGAUUUAUUCCUUUUGGUCUCUUGGUUACUUUUGUUUGUUUGCUCUUUAUGGUAUAUUCUUUAUUUUCUUUGUAGUAAUUGGUUUGCUGGUAACCCAAAAAUAAGAACUUCUUGUUAAUUUUACUUUGAUUAUUGUGGGUUGCAUUUCGAUUUAUUGCUUUUGUCCCUAUUGAUUAGGUUUUUUUCUUUUGAAUUUGAUAUUUUUUUCUUAUUUAUUAUUGUUUUUGUUUUCUUGGUUAUCGGUUGGUUGUUCUCAUUUUUAAUCUGUUGAUCUUGGGUCUCUCCCAUUCAGGUGUUGAACCUACGGUGGUGGACGGUCCUGGUGCUGGUGUCCCUCUUGUAUUGUGUUUGCACUUUGGGUGGAUGUUUGUUUCAUUUUUGUUUGCUUCAUGUGUGGUGUUCCAGGGAUCCCCUUUUUGAUUGGAUUGGACACAGUGCUGUGUGAAUGUGGCCAUGCAAAUUGUGUGACAGUUUACUAUCUUCCAGAUAUUGGAUACUUUUUUGAGAAGGUUUUCAUUUACUUCACGGAUCUCUGAAUAAAAAAUCCUUGCGUCUUCAAGAAGCACGGAACCUUACCCUCAGAGGAGGGCUAACCUAUGAACAUGACAUUGAAUGCAAUGAGGCCAGGGCAGACGGGCAAUCUACACUUUUUCGAGGUGAUGGUCCUGAUGGUCCUGGUGGACGCUUUGCAGAUGUUGGUGUGGUCCUGGAAGGUGUCAAAGUUCUUCACAACCUCCAGAGUUUCAACCAUGCUUGUGUGAUGCAUUAUGGGUUGAUUUAUGCCCUAUAAGCUAUCCUAAAAGCUUGAAGAAUACAUUCGAAGCAUACCAGAAGAUCCUGAUGGACCUGGAAUUGACCAAACUUUCCAACAAAGUACAAACACUGAAACUCAGAUUGCUUAUUUGACUCUUUUUUGGGGGUGGGGUGAGGAUGGAAGGAGGAAGUUGAGGAAGAGGCCAGCCAUACAUGCCGAUAACCGUGUAUAUAGUGUUCUUGUACAUUCAU